CUUUUGCUAGUAGCCAGCCUGAUUUGUCAAAAGUUUAGUUUGUCUCGAGCUAAUCGGCUGUUUUUCUGUGCGCUUUUGGCUUGUUCGAUUGCAUUCAGUGCAUGCUUUAUUGUUUUCGUUUGUAGUAAUGACCGUUUCCUUAGCGCGCCUUGCAUUUUAAUGCACUUAUUGCAAUGAGUGCAACUGAUUGGAUUUUCCUUUGUUAAUUUUUCAAAUUUAUUGGCAUUUUUCUUUUCUUUUUUGGGUUUUGCUUCUAACUUUGCCAUUGUGAGCUCGAUCCAUUAAAAGUCGCGGUGUUGUUGUUAGUUUUUGGUUUGCAAUUGUGUCUUAAUUGAUUUCUAAUUUAGAGUACUCAACGCAUAGUCAAAAAAUAUCGGUUAAUCUUGAUUUAUGUUUUAUUGGCACAUGACAAAGUCAAUUUGUGAACUGGCAGCGAGGAUGUCAUCACCGCUAGGCUAAAGGACAGUGUCGGAGUGUUUUGGAUUGUAUGUGUCAUAUGGCGUCGAGGUGGAGUUACCUCCGUUUCUGGGUAUACCGUUUUGAGAAGCUCGAAAGGAAGGAGUCUCAUGCAGUUUUAAUAACUUACGUUUCGCACCAUGACAGCAAAUUCAACAACAACAACAACAAAUUGAUGCUAUUAUGACAUUUGCGUGUUAAACACAAAAGCGCAAAAAAUAUGCCUAAAUGGACCACACACACGCACCAAAAGCACGCACGCACGCACGCAUGCGCGCCACUUGUGAACGGACAUUUAUUAUUUAUAACAAUUUGGCUAUGGACGUGACUUAAAUUGGUCAAAGCGAUUUGAUUUGACAGUAAGAAGUACGAGUUGGCGAUUUGGGAUUUUAUGUAAAAUAACGGCAGAUAUUUAUUUAUAUACCUGAGGGUAAAUAUAUAUACAAAAUAUUAGAGAAUAUGUACGCAUAUAAUACGUACAAAUAUACACAUAAGCAUAAAUAUGAAAAUUUGUUGUCUUAAUGCUCCAGUAUAUAUAUAAAUGUAACAUAUAUCGAAAUAUAAUAAAAUUUAUAUAAUCGAAA